UACGAAGGGGGCUAGCGUUGUCCGGAAUUAUUGGGGCGUAAAGAGCUUGUAGGCGGUUUGUCGCGUCUGCUGUGAAAAUCCGGGGCUCAACCCCGGACUUGCAGUGGGUACGGGCAGACUAGAGUGUGGUAGGGGAGACUGGAAUUCCUGGUGUAGCGGUGGAAUGCGCAGAUAUCAGGAGGAACACCGGUGGCGAAGGCGGGUCUCUGGGCCGAUACUGACGCUGAGGAGCGAAAGCGUGGGGAGCAAACAGG
rnacentral:rRNA from 1 species